CACCAUAUUUUUCGAUACUGUCGAAAAGUUUAUUUGCUCUCUAAAAUCCACAAUUAAUUAUAAUGCUGCAAACGGAAUUCACUGCUAUCUUUCCACUUUAGGGCAAAUACGGGGUCGCAUAUUGUCUGAAUUUCCAGGUGUAAAAUUUGUUCACACGGAAUUACUCGUAUUCGAUCUUAUUAACAAAGAUGACCAAGUAGAAACAGUUGCUACAGAACAUAAUCGGGCCCACCGGUGCUUAUCCGAAAAUGUUCGUCAAAUUUCUAAAGAAUAUUAUUUUCCAGGUUUGAAGAAAAUGUUAAAAAAUUUAAUCGCAAAUUGUAAGAUUUGCCUGGAAAAUAAAUAUCAACGUCAACCGUUAUGGAGAUUUUACUUAUAUUUAAUAACACGAAAAUUAUUGUAUCAGAUAAGGAAGGAGCUUUUCAAUCCAACCUAAUAAAAACGUUGCUAAGAGAUCACUUCUCAAUUGAACAAUUCUUCAUACCUACGCUUCACAGCGAAAGCAAUGGCCAAGUCGAAAGGUUUCACUCAACAUUGCUCGAAAUAGCACGUUGCAUUAAAAAACAGCAGCAAAUAUGUGAAAUUAUUGAUCUUGUUUUAUUAGCAACCUACAAAUAUAAUAACAGUAUUCAUUCGGUCACAAACGCCAAACCCAUUGAUGUGUUUCAUAACUACCCUCCUGAGAAAUUAAAUGAUAUUUGGAAAAGAUUAGUGGAAGCUCAAGAAAAGACUCUGAAAAGAUUUAAAUGCGGAAAAAUACCCAAAACAUAUAAAGUUGGAGAAAAGGUUUUUUUGAGAAGAAACAUACGAUUAGGAAAUAAAUUUGACAGGAUUUUUACUGAAAAAGUUAUUGAAGCAGACCUUGGUACCGCGGUUAUGAUAGAAGGAAAAAAGAUCCAUAAAAGCAAUUUGCGAUAGUUUUUCGAAGAAAUUCAGCUAAAAACAAGUUCAAGCAAUACAAAUAGGUUCUAAUUAAAAUGAAUGACAAAUAACUUAUGCUGUAACAUUUUUCUUUGAUUUUGAAUUAUUACAUUUGAUUUGAAAUUAAUUUGUGAACUUAGUUUUAAGAUAUUACAAUUGUUGGUAAAGUUCCUCUAAUUUUCUUUGAUUUUGAAUUAUUACAUUUGAUUUGAAAUUAAUUUGUAAACUUAGUUUUAAGAUAUUACAAUUCUUGGUAAAGUUCCUCUAAUUUGAGAGUAACAGCUUACGUACUUUAGAGAAGCAAAACCAAGUAUUUGUCGAAACGUGGACGUUCCGAGCUAAACAAGGGGAGUAGUUAAGAUAACCAAGACAAAUAUAAUGUUUACCACACUGGUUAACGAACUUAAGUAACCAGGUCAAAUCUUUCGUUUUACCUAAGGGUUAAGAUCCUAUAAAAAAUUAUAAAUCAACAAUUAUAAAAUGAUGCGCGGCCUGUGUGCGUGGCAUUCGCUGAUUAGCCAGCAUCACAAAAAUACAACAAAACGGCCUCUUAAAGGCUAGCCAGUCAAAAACGCUACUCCCUUCCUUCCUUUUCCUUUCUUAUCGGCAAAAUGUGUGCACAGUGAAAAGCUUGGUAAAAACGCAGAAAUCAGCCAUCUUUGCUUUGAUUUCAUUUGAACAAUGUUGCCAUUGCCCAAUAAGCAUAUAUAGUUUUGAGCACAUCUUUGUUUUCAAUUACAAUUUUUUACAAUAUAAAAUAUCAAAACUGAAAACAAACUAUUAAAAAUAGUUUAUAUAUUUAUAAAUAAUAGCAUUCGACUCUGAUUUUGAGUUAUUUUAAGAAGAUUUCAAACAUAUUGAACAGAUUGAAUUAUAAAAGUUGAUAAUUACUGCAGUAUAUCGAUAUUGGCAAUUGGCAUUGAGAGAGCAAUCAGCUGCCACGUUUGCUGCGGCAAAAUCCAAAUGUCGCGGAUUCUCACGUCAUCCCACGUCAAAGAGAGAAGGGAGUAGUAUUUUUCACUAUUCAGUUACAUUGCGCGUCCAUAAGAUAGGUCGUGCCAGCUGACUCGGGCCACGAUUCUGCGUAUUUGACUGGCUAGCCUAUUAGUAACAGCCGGAUGUUCCCGCCAAAACAGGCGUCCUACCAAAGCAACAACACACCUCACCAUUUCGAGUCAUUGCGCGAAGCAAUCAAUGAUUCGACCAUAGCAACAGUUGAGUUUGGCCGCCUUAAGUGCUGAAUACAAUACCGACGACAAACGACAUCUGUCAAAUAUUAAAAUACACACGUUCUUAUGGAUACUGUUAUUUUGACGACGACACAACUAUACGACUGUAGGCCGACGGUUGUCGUUUUCGCUAACUUCAAUAUUCUCCUAUAUUGGCCAACGACAGUAGGACGACAGUGAAGUUGACAGUAGAAUGGAAGAUAGAGAGAUGAGGAAGAGAGAUGCCACUAAUAUGUAAAAUGUAAAAUUAUUUACAGCUCUUACAAACUUGACGUCAUUUUUACAAAUAAAAGCAUAAAAUAGCUCUAUUUUACCAUUUAUAAUAACAAUUGAUAAUUUAAAACAAAUAAAUUUACCUAUUAACUUAUUUUUUGCAUAAAAAAUUUCACUUUGAACAAAAUAUUAAAAUUUCAUUGAAGUGCAGGGUAUUAGUAUGGCCACAACGAAAUUGUGUACAUGCAAAAUGGAGAGCUGCGUUGUUUUGUGUACAUGCCAGCCAUUGUUAUGUUGAUAUUUGAGUGAAUUGGUCUACUUGCGAUAUAAAUAUGGACGACGAAAUUUUAAUCGAAGAAGUACGAAGUUGCCCCUUUAUUUAUGAUAUCUCGCACAGAGAUUAUAAGAAUCUAAGAAAAAAAGAUAUGGCGUGGAAACAAAUUUCUACAAACACAAGGUUGAGCGAAAUAGAAUGCAAAAAUAGGUGGAAGAGUCUCCGUAACUGUUACAAACGAUAUAAGAAUGGAGCAAGUCGCUUCCGGGAGUGGCCAACAAACUACCCGAAGAAAAUGGCGAUAUCUGGAGGCGAUGUCGUUUAUGGAAAAAAUUCCAAAUUCAAGGCGUACUAUUAGCAGCAUAAGCGAGGAGGUCAAAAGUGUCCAACACAAUAGAAUUAUUGAUCCAUCUUUGGAGGCAUCAACAUCAUCGACGACAAUGGAGACAUCGCAGCCGACAUCUUCGACUGGACGUGGACAAAAGAAAAAAAACGGCGACGCGUUCGCGAAAUUCCUUGAAACGACAGGCGCGAGCAUAUGUACAAUGAUGACGAAUCACGAUCGCGUAAAACCAAUUCCACCGCAUAACAUUUUGCUUCCUUGGCUACAUAAAUUUCGGAAGCCGGUCUUCCGCCAGACAUGGUGUACAUAUCGAGGCAAAAGUGUCGGCUUUAGUGUUCGAAGAAAUCAGCAAUUUCUAUUUGGGGUAUUUGGGGUAGAUUAAUUAACAAUGUGAUAAUCAUAGACUAAAGCUAUUUUUUGUUCAAUUUAUAUAGAAAAUUAUUUUUUUUUUUAAGUAGUUAGUAAGCAAAAUUGAAUUUCAUGUUUUUUUGUAUAUAUGUAUAUAAUGGUGAUAUUAGAAGUAACUUUUUUAAUUUAAAAAUGUGAUAUGUAAGAAAUGUUGAAGAAUAUGAAUUACGAAAACGAAAUUUAAUUACCUGUUUUAUAUAUAUAUGUAUAUAGUGAUUAUAUUAGAAGUAACUAUUUAAUUUAAAAAUGUGAUAUAAAGGGUGAUUUUUUAAGAGCUUGAUAACUUUUAAAAAAAAAAAAACGCAUAAAAUUUGCAAAAUCUCAUCGGUUCUUUAUUUGAAACGUUAGAUUGGUUCAUGACAUUUACUUUUUGAAGAUAAUUUCAUUUAAAUGUUGACCGCGGUUGCGUCUUAGGUGGUCCAUUCGGAAAGUCCAAUUUUGGGCAACUUUUUCGAGCAUUUCGGCCGGAAUAGCCCGAAUUUCUUCGGAAAUGUUGUCUUCCAAAGCUGGAAUAGUUGCUGGCUUAUUUCUGUAGACUUUAGACUU